AGAGUUUGAUCCUGGCUCAGAGUGAACGCUGGCGGCGUGCUUAACACAUGCAAGUCGAACGAUGAAGCAGCUGCUUGCAGCUGUGGAUUAGUGGCGCACGGGUGAGUAAUGGAUAGGUUACCUGCCUCAUAGUCUGGGACAACAAUUGGAAACGAUUGCUAAUACCGGAUAUUCCCUACGGGGGAAAGAUUUAUUGCUAUGAGAUGGGCCUAUCUCCUAUCAGCUAGUUGGUAAGGUAAUGGCUUACCAAGGCUAUGACGGGUAGCUGGUCUUAGAGGACGAUCAGCCACACUGGAACUGAGACACGGUCCAGACUCCUACGGGAGGCAGCAGUGGGGAAUAUUGCACAAUGGGGGAAACCCUGAUGCAGCAACGCCGCGUGGAGGANGACGC
rnacentral:rRNA from 1 species